rnacentral:rRNA from 1 species
UUCAGUUGGGCACUCUAAUGAGACUGCCGGUGACAAACCGGAGGAAGGUGGGGAUGACGUCAAGUCCUCAUGGCCCUUAUAGGUGGGGGCUACACACGUCAUACAAUGGAUGGUACAAAGGGUCGCCAACCCGCGAGGGGGAGCCAAUCCCAUAAAGCCAUUCGUAGUCCGGAUCGCAGUCUGCAACUCGACUGCGUGAAGUCGGAAUCGCUAGUAAUCGUGGAUCAGAAUGUCACGGUGAAUUACCGGUUCCCGGGUCUU